UACGUAGGGCGCAAGCGUUGUCCGGAAUUAUUGGGCGUAAAGAGCUUGUAGGCGGUUUGUCGCGUCUGCUGUGAAAUUUCGGGGCUCAACCCCGAACUUGCAGUGGGUACGGGCAGACUAGAGUGUGGUAGGGGAGACUGGAAUUCCUGGUGUAGCGGUGAAAUGCGUUGAUAUCGUUCGGAACACCGAAAGCGAAGGCAGGUUACUGGGUGCCACCUGACACUGCUAGGACGAAAGCGUGGGGAGCGAAUGGG
rnacentral:rRNA from 1 species